rnacentral:rRNA from 1 species
UACAGAGGGUGCGAGCGUUGUCCGGAUUUAUUGGGCGUAACGAGCGUGUAGGCGGCCUGACAGGUCUGCUGUGAAAACUCGAGGCUCAACCUCGAGAUGUCGGCGGAAACCGUCUGGCUAGAGUCCGGAAGAGGAGAGUGGAAUUCCUGGUGUAGCGGUGAAAUGCGCAGAUAUCAGGAAGAACACCUAUGGCGAAGGCAGCUCUCUGGGACGGUACUGACGCUGAGACGCGAAAGCGUGGGGAGCGAACAGG